UGCGUAGGGGGCAAGCGUUGUCCGGAUUUAUUGGGCGUAAAGAGCGUGUAGGCGGCUUUGCAAGUCCGUUGUGAAAACUCGAGCUCAACCUCGAGACGCCGGUGGAAACUGCAAAGCUAGAGUCCGGAAGAGGAGAGUGGAAUUCCUGGUGUAGCGGUGAAAUGCGCAGAUAUCAGGAAGAACACCCGUGGCGAAGGCGGCUCUCUGGGACGGUACUGACGCUGAGACGCGAAAGCGUGGGGAGCGAACAGG
rnacentral:rRNA from 1 species